AGGAAUAUUGGUCAAUGGGCGCAGGCCUGAACCAGCCAAGUAGCGUGAAGGAUGACUGCCCUAUGGGUUGUAAACUUCUUUUAUAAAGGAAUAAAGUCGGGUAUGUAUACCCGUUUGCAUGUACUUUAUGAAUAAGGAUCGGCUAACUCCGUGCCAGCAGCCGCGGUAAUACGGAGGAUCCGAGCGUUAUCCGGAUUUAUUGGGUUUAAAGGGAGCGUAGAUGGAUGUUUAAGUCAGUUGUGAAAGUUUGCGGCUCAACCGUAAAAUUGCAGUUGAUACUGGCAGUCUUGAGUGCAGUAGAGGUGGGCGGAAUUCGUGGUGUAGCGGUGAAAUGCUUAGAUAUCACGAAGAACUCCGAUUGCGAAGGCAGCUCACUGGAGUGUAACUGACGCUGAUGCUCGAAAGUGUGGGUAUCAAACAGGAUUAGAUACCCUGGUAGUCCACACAGUAAACGAUGAAUACUCGCUGUUUGCGAUAUACAGUAAGCGGCCAAGCGAAAGCAUUAAGUAUUCCACCUGGGGAGUACGCCGGCAACGGUGAAACUCAAAGGAAUUGACGGGGGCCCGCACAAGCGGAGGAACAUGUGGUUUAAUUCGAUGAUACGCGAGGAACCUUACCCGGGCUUAAAUUGCAAAUGAAUUAUGGGGAAACCCAUACGCCGCAAGGCAUUUGUGAAGGUGCUGCAUGGUUGUCGUCAGCUCGUGCCGUGAGGUGUCGGCUUAAGUGCCAUAACGAGCGCAACCCUUAUCUUCAGUUACUAACAGGUCAUGCUGAGGACUCUGGAGAGACUGCCGUCGUAAGAUGUGAGGAAGGUGGGGAUGACGUCAAAUCAGCACGGCCCUUACGUCCGGGGCUACACACGUGUUACAAUGGGGGGUACAGAAGGCCGCUACCUGGUGACAGGAUGCCAAUCCCAAAAACCUCUCUCAGUUCGGAUCGAAGUCUGCAACCCGACUUCGUGAAGCUGGAUUCGCUAGUAAUCGCGCAUCAGCCAUGGCGCGGUGAAUACGUUCCCG
rnacentral:rRNA from 1 species